rnacentral:rRNA from 1 species
UACAGAGGGUGCAAACGUUGCUCGGAAUCAUUGGGCGUAAAGCGCACGUAGGCGGCCCAGCAAGUCGGAUGUGAAAGCCCUCGGCUCAACCGAGGAAGUGCAUUCGAAACUGCUGAGCUUGAAUAUGGAAGAGGGUCGCGGAAUUCCCGGUGUAGAGGUGAAAUUCGUAGAUAUCGGGAGGAACACCAGUGGCGAAGGCGGCGACCUGGCCAAUAUUGACGCUGAGGUGCGAAAGCGUGGGGAGCAAACAGG